GACGAACCGUCCGAACGUUGUUCGGAAUCACUGGGCUUAAAGGGCGCGUAGGCGGGUUGCCAAGUCUGUGGUGAAAUCCUCCAGCUUAACUGGAGAACUGCCGUGGAUACUGGCGACCUCGAGGAAGAUAGGGGACUCUGGAACUGUGCGUGGAGCGGUGAAAUGCGUUGAUAUGCACAGGAACUCCGGUGGCGAAGGCGAGGGUCUGGAUCUUUUCUGACGCUGAGGCGCGAAAGCUAGGGGAGCGAACGGG
rnacentral:rRNA from 1 species